rnacentral:pre_miRNA from 1 species
UCAAUACUCCCUCUGUCCGAAAAAGCUUGUCCCAAGCUUGUUUCUCAAAUGGAUAUAUCUAGCACUAACUUGGUGCUAGAUACAUCCAUUCGAGCGACAAGCUUUUCCGGACAGAGGGAGUACCAA